AUCUGUGGCCACAUAACCCUGAACACCAGAUCUCAUCUGAUCUCCAACGCUAAGCAGUGCCAAGCCCAUUAGCACUUGGCUCAGAGGAAGAAAGUCAAGGAAGGCUGCGGGGGAGAGGUGGCAAUUCACAGGGA
rnacentral:rRNA from 14 species